rnacentral:rRNA from 1 species
GACGAACGCUGGCGGCGUGCUUAACACAUGCAAGUCGAACGGUGAAGCGCCUUCCUUUUUGGUGGGUGUGGAUGAGUGGCGAACGGGUGAGUAACACGUGAGUAACCUGCCCCCUUCUUCUGGAUAACCGCAUGAAAGUGUGGCUAAUACGGGAUAUUCUGGGUCUGUCGCAUGAUGGGUCUGGGAAAGAUAUUGUUUCGGUGGGGGAUGGGCUCGCGGCCUAUCAGCUUGUUGGUGGGGUGAUGGCCUACCAAGGCGGUGACGGGUAGCCGGCCUGAGAGGGUGGACGGUCACACUGGGACUGAGACACGGCCGAGACUCCUACGGGAGGCAGCAGUGGGGAAUAUGGCACAAUGGGCGAAAGCCUGAUGCAGCGACGCCGCGUGAGGGAUGGAGGCCUGCGGGUUGUGAACCUCUUUCGCCAGUGAAGCAGGCCUGCCUCGUUUGUGGGUGGGUUGACGGUAGCUGGAUAAGAAGCGCCGGCUAACUACGUG